rnacentral:rRNA from 1 species
AGUGAACGCUGGCGGUAGGCCUAACACAUGCAAGUCGAACGGCAGCACAGUAAGAGCUUGCUCUUACGGGUGGCGAGUGGCGGACGGGUGAGGAAUACAUCGGAAUCUACUUUUUCGUGAGGGAUAACGUAGGGAAACUUACGCUAAUACCGCAUACGACCUACGGGUGAAAGCAGGGGAUCUUCGGACCUUGCGCGAUUGAAUGAGCCGAUGUCGGAUUAGCUAGUUGGCGGGGUAAAGGCCCACCAAGGCGACGAUCCGUAGCUGGUCUGAGAGGAUGAUCAGCCACACUGGAACUGAGACACGGUCCAGACUCCUACGGGAGGCAGCAGUGGGGAAUAUUGACAAUGGGCGCAAGCCUGAUCCAGCCAUACCGCGUGGGUGAAGAAGGCCUUCGGGUUGUAAAGCCCUUUUGUUGGGAAAGAAAAGCAGCAGGUUAAUACCCCGCUGUUCUGACGGUACCCAAAGAAUAAGCACCGGCUAACUUCGUG